rnacentral:lncRNA from 1 species
GGCGGGUCCUGCGCUGCGUCAGGGUGCCGAGGCGGGGUUUCUCGCCUCCGGUCACAAUGGGACCUCUGUACCGCGCUGGGCUUGUUGGCCUGCGAUUAGCACACACCCAUCCCUGGGAACUGCUAGUCUGGAAAGCGGGGCUGCUUCUCCGGGAUGAGCCCGAGCCCUGCCAAGCCCCUCAAGGCAUUGAAGCUUUAGCUCACCUUAUCCGAAUGGUCAUUGGGCAUCUGGACUUGAGUUAACGACUGAAUUUUUCUGGGAAGCAAGGGACACGUUCUAAAAUAACCCCAGGAUCACUCUCCGAACUUGGCCUGAGUCUAGGCAAGCAGUGUUACUCGGUCGCCUUGAUCUUGGAGCUGCUGUGUACUGGGGACCUCAUACUAGUUGGGUUAACUAUAUUCCCAUUAGCAGUACGCGGGAUCGCAGUACUCGGGACAAGCUGAGUUCAGGUAUUUGGCUGCUAUGAGUAACACGAUCUGGAAAGACAGCGCUAGCAAGGAAUGAGGAGUGAUACAGUGACUGGAGGCUAAGAGAUAAUGUCUGCAAGUCACCUAAAACCAUUGCAGACACAGGGAGAUUGAUGGAUUUGGAGGACUUCUGGUUGUGAAGACUCUGACGAUUGCUAAAGAGGACUGGCAGACUGGUGGAUAUGUGCAUCUUGCAAGCUAAAACACAUGCCAGGCACAGGUCAUGGCACAACUGGCUGAUAAACUAAGUGGCUGGAAGGAACAGCUGUGUUAAUUAAUUACUUCACUCACUGCCACCUGAGACCAACUUCAGCUGAUCCUUGCUGCUCAUGUCCAAGUGAACUUUUCUAUAUUCACAGAUUCCCUGAAUGGGUAUCUUCAAAAUGGAGCAUAAGUUAUUUUAUGUCUGGAAAGGGCUGGGGAAAGACUGAUAACCUGAUCACAUUUAAGAUUUAACAUGCGCGUAGCUGAAGUCUCUGUUUGGUGCACUUACAUCUCUCAUACUACUAGAAGACACCGUGACAGAAGCUGGAAGUAUAAAGUGAAGGCUUACCAAAAUCAUCUCAGAUUAUUAAAAUGCAUCUAUUGCAUUAUUAUAUUUUAUUUAAAAUGAUAAUCAUAUUUUAUUUAAAAUGAAAAAUCCAGGAAGAUGCUAAAGUGAGCGGGCAGUAGGAUAUGUGGUCAUUUUUUUUUUUUUAGACACAGUCUCACUCUGUCACCCAGGCUGGAGUGCAGUGGUGCAAUCAUGGCUCACUGCAGUCUUGAUCUCCCAGGCUCAGGUGAUCCUCCCACCUCAGCCUCCCAAGUAGCUGGGACUACAAGUGCGUGUCACCACAGCCAGCUAAUUUUUGUAUUUUUUGUAGAUACAGUGUUUUGUCAUGUUGCUCAGGCUGGUCUUGAACUCCUGGGCUCAAGCCAUUUGCCCACCUCAGCCUCCCAAAGUGCUGGGAUAACAGAUGUGAGCCACUGCGUCCCACCUGUGGUCACCUAUUUCAUAAGGCUUUAUGGUAGAUUGUUUCCAUAAUCGUUCCAAGUGAAGUAUGCUACCUUGUAUACAUACCAGUGGUAUACCUAGUACAUUUGACCCACAGUACAAUUUUUUUAACCAAAAUUUAUUGGUAAUGCAAAAUAAACCAUCAUUCUCUUUAGGCUCUAUAAAGAUAUGAGUCCCCUGUUACUGACUUUGCCUAAAAUACAGCAAGCUUUUCUAAUUUAUAGGCUCAAAUUGGUUGUUUUCUUUUUUUUUCUCUCAGCCACAUUUUCCUCAGUUACAUCUUUCAUUUUCGUUUCUGUUCCCAUUGUUCUCAUUUGCUCCUCAGGCAAUCCUAUACUUAUUAAAUUUGAUUUUUUUUUACUCUUCUCCAUCUUUAUCAUCUCCUUUCUCAUUAUUUUAAGCUGUUUUUGUGGCUUUUUCUUUUUUUAGAAAAUUUUCAGAUCUGCCCUCUCCAUCACAAAUCCCAUUUUCUUAGUACUUAUUCUGUUCUUUACUACUUUCAAAGUAAACUUACAAAUCACAAAUAUAAAAGAUACUUAGGUCCCACCCCCAGAUAUUCCAAUUUAAUACUCUGGAGUGUGGCCCAAGCAGGUUUUUUUUAAAUUGUGGUAAAAUAUACAUGGCAUACAAUUUGUCAUUUUAGCCUCUUUUAAGUGUGCAAUUCAGUGUCAUUAAAUACAUUUACAUUGUUGGCAACCAUCACCAGCAUCUAUUUCCAGAAAUUUUUUCAUCUUCCAAGCAGAUAAUUUUUAACAACUCCCUCUUUGACAUGAAAAAAUUAUUCUCAGAAAUAAUCAUAAAAUAAAAUGAAUCAUAAUAAUGAUCAGAAAAGAAAUAUAGUAAAAAUGUUCUUCUAUUCAACUUUUAUACAAUACUGCCAGUAAAAAAUAAAGAGCAAAUAUACACUAAAAAGCACAUUGACUUAUUUAAUGGCUUUUCUGUCUGCCUAACCAUUUGAACUUUGACUCUUUGGCUCAAGCAAUCCUCCUACCUCAGCCUCCCAAAGUGCUGGGAUUACAGGCAUGAGUCACUGUGCCCAGCCUGAUUUCUAAUUUAGAAUCUACUGUAUAAAUUCAGGAAUAGGUAGUGCUAUGGGGAUUGGAGACAGGAUCCAAGGGAGCUCAAAUUAUUCAUAAAUGUUGAAAAUGUAAUUUUGCAACCAACACAGGUAGCUGAGUCUAUGUGUGUUGGAGGCAACUAUAUAAUUGGAAAUUCUCUGAAUUAGCUACCAUGUAGAAUAAAACGUUUAUUUAAAAAGUAAUAAAAAUGUGG